AUACUGGUUCCCAUAAGAUCACCAAAGUUAAGCAACAUCAAGCCUGGUCAGUACUUAGAUGGGUGACUGCUUGGGAAUACUAGGUGCUGUAAG
rnacentral:rRNA from 1 species